rnacentral:tRNA from 1 species
AACUUUUAAAGGAUGGUAGUUAUCCAUUGGUCUUAGGAGCCAAAAAUUUGGUGCAACUCCAAGUAAAAGUUA